rnacentral:sRNA from 1 species
UGGACUAAGAACUCUCGCCUGCG